UCGGGGACUUGAUUACACUAAUUAACCAAUUAGUGCCCUUUCGGUAACCUAAUCUUGUUCAUUUUAACAAAAUGAUUUUUGGCAGGCAGUUUGAAUUGAUUUUAUACUUAUCCACUAACAUGUGAGGUAAUCAUGCGGGUACGCAAUCAUUAAAGUAAUAACCAUAACUACCAAGAUCCUAAUUACCAUAAAAUUAAACACAUGUCAUCAAACAUAAUUAGAUAUACAAAUUAAACAUGCAACAUAAUUAAUAUACGAGCACAUAAAAGUCUAAUUACGCUAAAAUGGCAAUACAUGAUCAAACCCCAUCAUUUUUGGAUUUUUGAAAUUUUUAAUUUUUAAUUUUUUCAAAAUUUUUUAAAAAGAAAAUUAAUUAAUUUUUAAUUUUUUUAAUUUUUUUAAAAGAAAAUUAAUUAAUUUUUAAUUUUUUAAAUUUUUUUUAAUAUUUUUGGAUUUUUCGAAUUUUUUUAAAAUAUUAAAAUAUUAAAAUAUUUUUUUAUUUUAAAAUUUUUAAAGAAAAUAAUUUUUAAUUUUUAAAAUUAAUUUUUGAUUUAAAAAGGUGAACCAGGUCGAGUUCGAUUCGACCCGACCCGGUCAACGCGGAUUGGGUCAGGUCGGAGACCGGACCCGAGUUCGGUCCAAAUGGGGCCGAGCCGAACUGGCCCGACUUGGUCGGGCUUUGCCUUGGCUCGGAUUGGGCCCAAUCAGCGGGCCCAAUAUGGUCUAAUACUUUCUAUUUAAAAAAAGAAGCCCACUACCUAAGUUAGCCCAAACCCACAAAUCCAAAAAUUCCUAAAAGCCCAAAAAGCCUAAAAACCGACCCAAAUAGCUCAAAAACCCUACCCGGUUCGCGACCCGUGUCCGACCUGUUCCUUUUUGGCCGAAACCCUAGGGUUUCCUAACGGCGUUGGCGGCGGCGGCGGCGGCGAAGGUGAUUUGGACGGCAACAGUGGCGGUAAGACGGGCGGCGGCGUCGGCACGGCGUGACUGGCGGAGACGCGGCCAGAAGUGGCGCGUGGCGAGGGCCGGUGUGGGGCUCGCUCGGCAGUGACUGCGAGGCAGCUCGGACGGCGUCGGGUUGAGGGCGGUGAUGGGUGAGUGACGGCACCGGCUGCAGCGAGGGGGUUCGGACGGCGACUAGAGCGGGACGGCGGCGGCGGUCGGCCUGGUGGUGCAGCGGAGUUCGAUCAACUCCCAGAUCUGGUUCGUCUUCGGCUGGUUCGGCGUCGGGAGCAGUGGCAACGGCGGCGGCUUGGCUCGAACGGAAGAUGGAGGGCGGCGGCUCAGCUCGAACGACGUCAGGUUGAAGCGGCGAGGAGGGCGAGCAGCGGCGUCGGGUCGCUGGUCCGAGAGGCACGGGCAGAGCAGCAGGCAGGGAGUAGAAGACAGCUUCGCUCGGAGGAGGCUUGGACGACGACGGGCAGGAGGGCGGCGGCGACGCGGGUGUCAGGCACCGGUCGAGCGGGAGUGGUAGCGGCAGCGGCGGCGGUGCCGCCGUCGCCGCCCUUCCUUUCGGUUUUCCCCUUCUUCUUUUUUUCUUUCUGGUUGCUCCUCCCUCGAGCUCCCUUUCCCUCUCUCCUCCGGUCUCUCCCUCCGUUCCCCCUCUCCCUCUCUGCCGAGUUCUCUCUCUCCCUUUUUCUCGGUCUCCGAUGCUCCCUGUUCAUUGUCCUCCUGCCACUCCCUUGCUGCCCCUGUUUCUGUUCUGUUUUGCAGGUCUGCGUGCGAAGGAGGAAGACAGCAAGGCGUGGGCUGGAGGGGAAAGGAAGCUGGGCCGGGCCUAGGCCAGAUCAAGCCCAACUCGAGCCCCUUAAGCAUUUUUUUUGUUUUUUUUUCUUUUUAUGACAAUUUUUUUGGAUUUUAUUUUAGCAACUAAUUCCUAGUUUUGUAUGUGAUUAAGUUUUAAGUAAAAUAAUAAAAUUUAGGUGUCAACAGCUGCCCCUCUUUGAAUGGGAGCUCGAAGAGGUUCCAUUCAAAGACAAAAGACACCUAAAUUAUUUUGACGAUAGACCCAGGUGCAUAGGCACGUAUUAGGUUGAUGGAAAGAACUCAUAACUAUGGAAGCGCGUCUUGUCAAUAAGAGGAAGAAAGACUCCGGGCUACAAAAGCUCUCCAGGCUACAAAGCACACCGUGUCAUAGGAAGAAGGACUUCGGGCUACAAAGCUCUCCGGGCUACAAAAGCUCUCAAGGCUACAAAGCUCACCGUGUCAUAAGAAGAAUGAGAUGAAUGAGGUCUCACCGUGUAACAACGGGUUUUGAUCGGGUUGAAAAUGCAUGAUUCGAGGAAAACCAAUGAACCUUUGUAGAUAACAUGGUUUAAGGUUGACCAUGAACCUUUUGAAAAAUUGCAGUUUAGCAAAAAAACUCAUGAACAUUUUAAAAGCGGGGUUUAAGGAUGACCCACGAACCUUAUGGUUUAAGGAUAAACCCACGAACCGUGUAGUUUAGACUGGAAAAAGAAAAAAAAUGUCUCGCCGUGUAAAAACGGGUUUUGACUGGAUGUGAUGGUCUUACCGUAUAAAAACGGGUUUUGACUUGAUGUGAUGGUCUCACCGUGUAAAAACGGGUCUCGACCGGAUGGUAGUCUCAUCGUGUAAAAACGGGUUUCGACCGGGAAGAAGGUCUCACCGUGUACAAACGGGUUUUGACCGAAUGAUAGUCUCACCGUGUACAAACGAGUUUCCACUGGAUGAUAGUCUCACCGUGUACAAAUGGGUUUCGACUGGAUAAUAGUCUCACCGUGUAAAAACGGGUUUCGACUGGGAGGAAGGUCUCACCGUAUACAAAUGGGUUUCGACCGGACGAUAGUCUCACCGUGUACAAACGGGUUUCGACCGGAUGAUAGUCUCACCGUGUAAAAAUGGGUUUCGACUGGGAGGAAGGUCUUACCGUAUACAAACGGGUUUCGACCGGACGAUAGUCUCACCGUGUACAAACGGGUUUCGACCGAAUGAUAGUCUCACCGUGUAAAAACGGGUUUCGACUGGGAGGAAGGUCUUACCGUUUACAAACGGGUUUCGACCGGAUGAUAGUCUCACCGUGUAAAAACGAGUUUCAACUAUGAGGAAGGUCUCAUCGUGUACAAACGGGUUUCUACCGGAUGAUAGUCUCACCGUGUACAAACGGGUUUUGACUAGAGGAAUGUCUCACCGUGUACAAACGGGUUUCGACCGGAUGAUAGUCUCACCGUGUACGAAUGGGUUUCGACCGUGUGGUUUAGGAAAAGCCACCAAUCCCGUGGUUUAAAGAUAAACCCACGAACCUUGUGGUUUAAGGAUAGACCCACGAACUGUGUAGUUUAAGGAUAGACCCACGAACCGUGUGGUUUAGGAAAAGCCACCAACCCUGUGGUUUAAGGAUAGACCCACCAACCGUGUGGUUUAGGAAAAGCCACCAACCCCGUGGUUUAAGGAUAGACCCACCAACCUUGUGGUUUAAGGAUAGACCCACCAACCGUGUAGUUUAAGGAUAGACCCACGAACCGUGUGGUUUAAGGAUAGACCCACGAACCGUGUGGUUUAAGGAUAGACCCACGAACCUUGUGGUUUAAGGAUAGACCCACAAACCUUGUGAUUUAAGGAUAGACUCACCAACCGUGUGGUUUAAGGAUAGACCCACAAACCGUGUGGUUUAGGAAAGCCACCAAUCCCGUGGUUUAAGGAUAGACCCACGAACCGUGUGGUUUAAGGAUAGACCCACGAACCGUGUGGUUUAAGGAUAGACUCACCAACCGUGUGGUUUAAGGAUAGACCCACAAACCGUGUGGUUUAGGAAAGCCACCAACCCCGUGGUUUAAGGAUAAACCCACCAACCGUGUGGUUUAAGGAUAGACCCACGAACCGUGUGGUUUAAGGAUAGACCCACGAACCGUGUGGUUUAAGGAUAGACCCACAAACCUUGUGGUUUAAGGAUAGACUCACCAACCGUGUGGUUUAAGGAUAGACUCACAAACCGUGUGGUUUAGGAAAGCCACCAACCCCGUGGUUUAAGGAUAAACCCACCAACCGUGUAAAUGACAUGGUUUAAGGCUGACCAUGAACCUUUGGAGAUAACAUGGUUUAAGGCUAACCAUGAACCUUUGGAGAUGUCAUGGUUUAAGGUUGACCAUGAACUUUUGGAGAUGACAUGGUUUAAGGCUGACCAUGAACCUUUUGAGAUGGCAUGGUUUAAGGUUGACCAUGAACCUUUGAUUUUUAGGGAAGCACCCGCUAAUCCCCUGAAAACUGCAUGGCUUCAUUGAGGAAUCCUGUGAAACUCAACUUGGGCAAAUGUCAUUAGGAACGUAGUAUUAGAAACAUUGCAGCAUUAAUUGAACAAGCUAAUCAAGCUAAGUCUGACUGCUUUGGAAAAACAUUUUAUUUCAAUCAGCAUCAUGUGGCGCAAAAUUGUCAUCUUGCUCGUGGAUGCAUCGUUAAUCAUCAAAUUCUCUAUGAGUCAAGUUCUUACCAGAAUGAUUUCUAUUCGUGAAAAAGACUCAUUAGGCAUGCCAAACUGGAGCUUCUUAGUUAGAAAGGCCUUCUCACAUACUCUCGAUAAAAUGGCUACUUGAUCCCAUCCAUUCACGUGAGAAGUAACUGAUUGCUGAAAGUAUCUCACAUAGCCUAUGUCGAAGGCUUUCGGAAACAUUCGCAAUGAGCACAAUCUGAUCGAUCAAAAAGGUCUUUUGAAAGGACCGCAAUAUAGGCUUGGUUAGGGCUUACACAAAAGAAUGAUUACUUUGAGGCCAAUAAAGGAACAUUUGCCGCUAUCUUCAUUGGGUUUACGAGUCGAGAACUUGGAAGAUAAGACAAGAUAGAAUUACUUCCACUCCUUCAAGCAGUAGCUUCUUUGUGGUAUUCUCAUUUUCACUCAAAUCAUCCCAAUCAGAAGAGGCUUCGGAAAAAGAGUUAUAAUGUUGGCUCGGGAAAGGCUUGAAAGGCUUAAAAUUUUCAAGAGGGUCUUUAAGAGUCAGUGAUCAUCAUGGCAUCGUGACCGGGUCACUUGACCUUUCGAAAGCAUUUGGCUCUUAAAACACAGCAUAUCUCGAGAGUUCAUUCACUGAUCAUUUCUGCAUGAGAGCUUUGCUCUUUUCUCUAAUUUCCUUUGUCCUUUGCGAUGAUCUUUUUUCGCAGACACUUGGAUUUUGAUAAUUUUUCUUUCACAUAAGAUGCGGCCUUUUGGUUCUUUUUCUUGACGGGCAUUGGCCUUGCUUUUACCAGGCACACUGCUUUUUUAUGCCCCCUAGUUUGUCGAACUUUUUGCUCUUUGAACUUUGGUAGCUCAUGACUUUCGAGAUGCUUUUCACAUUUUCCCGUGAUUGUCAAUUGUAUUUGGUUAAUUCUUAUGCCUUGCCCCAGUGAAGGAAGAUGACCACCGCUCGAGGUUCGGAAAUGAAUAAUCAGGCCUAAAUUGGUUAAAGCAAUGGGAAUUAGUGUUUGGGUAGAGAAGGAAAUGCUCUUCUUCACCUUGGGAUGAGUCAAGCUCCGAUGAGAAUUCCUCUGAAGCUACCACAAGAAGAUUGAUAUAAGUGAAAGUAAUAGAAUAUUUCUCAACCUUUCAUUUUACGACACGACCGUAACCUCUUAUAUUGCCCCAAUGUAGGGUUGUUCUCGAUAGGGGUACUUUGAAGGAUCAUCUUUUUUUUUUAGCCCAAAUGGGUAACAAAGGAUCAGUGCAAUGCUUGGGAUUGAUGAAGGAAAUGCCUUAUCAUUUCGAUCUUUGCGCUCAAUGCGAAUGAAUCAUUCGUCCUAAGAGAAGAUCUCUUUUCACUCAACUCUCAAAAGUGUUUGAAUAAUGCUCAACUCUCAAAAGUGUUUGAAGAACGUGUUUGGAAAUGAGCUUGCCUUUCUUCAUCCUAAGCACUUCUUGUUUGGCAUGGUUAACAUUUCCAUUUCACUCUGCCGAGAUCAUUCGAGUAUAUCUGUGACAUCCCGGUUUUUCCCAAUUUUAUUUUCAGUCAAUUGAGUCGGGCAAUUCAUCCGUGCAUGUAGUUCGUCUCUUAGAGUUGGCCACUCACGAGGGAACUAGUUUAUUGAGUGAAGUAAUUAAGGAAUUUUACCGCGUCAGACUUGGGGACUGAUCACCCUCGGGUUGGAUGCAAGAAAAUUUCCCCAAAAGCUACUCAAUGGAUUAGGCGAGCUGAAAUCGCACCGGAUUGAAUUCAACCGUAAAAAUUGGGAUUGAACUUAGAAGUUGGAAGCCGGUCAUGUCACAUACCUUAUUAGGAUCAUUGGAUUAAUUUAUGGACUUUAAUUUAGACUCAAUUAGAAGAGAAUUGAUGGAAAUUGAGAUAAUUAAAUGUGCAAGAACUUGGACCCCGGCGGAAAAUGAAUUUGGACCUAUUGGAAGAUGUUGUGAAGAUUUGAGUUAGUGGAGAGUGACAUCAGCAGGUGAUGUCAUGGUGGAGGCCAAAAUUAAGGAGAGCUUGACAAGUGUCACAAGCCAAUUGGCUCACCAAAAGUGGGGGUGUCCCAUCCACUUCAUCUUCAACCUCUAGCACCUUGGGAAGGGAAAUUCGAAAAUUGAGGGGGAGAGAGAGAGAGAAUCCGGCGAGAGAGUUGCAGCUGGUCCGUCCGCCCCUUCGUCGCGUCUCCGUCGCCCCCGUCUCGCCCGCCGUUGCCGGCCGUCGCCGUUCGCCGCUCGUUCGCGUGUGAGGCCCCGAGUGCGAGCUCGUCGCGUCUCCGUCGCUGCCGUCUCCUUGCCCGAGCUGCUGGUAGCCGACCGCCGAAGUUUCCGUCGCCGCCGACCGUCCGCUCAAGCCCCCGCUGGUUGUUGCACAAGCUGUCGCCGGUUCUCCUCCGCCGUUUCUCCGUCCGUUCAGCCGCCAUUCCGCCGCCCCUUCAAGCCGGUUAGUUGCUGGAAAGAAAACCAGCAAGAACCAGCUUCUUUUAAGCUCGGUUUGGCUCCCUUUUGGUCCUCAUUUGGUGUUGAUCCGUGUAGGUUUGUCGUCGGUGUCGUCGUGCUCUUCGCCGGAGACUCGUCGAAAAGCGAUUCCGGUGAGUUUACCUCACUAAUCCGCGAUUAGCGAGAUAAUGAUGCCCUAAGUAUGUUUAGCUUAAGUUGAUUGAGAUUAGGUGGAUAGAUUGGCUUAAUUAGUUGUGGAUUAUAUUAAGGUGAUUGUUUAAGGUAAAUGAUGUUUAGUUUAAUGGUUAAGUAUGUUUAUUUUAAAAUAAACCUUGAUGUGACUUAAAGGAGUUUAUUUAUGAUUUAAAUAAAUGCUUCGAAAUUGUUGGAUUAUUUAAUAAUAUGUCUUAUUCCGAAAUUCAUUAAAAUAUUAUUUUUAUAAAAAAAAAAAAACUUGAAAAAUUUAUUUUGACCCUAAUUACUCAGAAUUUCGUGCCGAUCGCUGCUGUAUGUUUAGAAUUUGAAUUUGAUGUGUGAAUAUUGCAACUUGAUUGUUGAUUGUGAAAAGGAUGGAAUUUUAGUUAGAAAAUCCCAAGUGUUGAGUUCGACACUGAAAUUUGAUUGUUCAUGGUUAACAUCGUAAUUGGAUCAUGUGGGUGAAAGGGAAAAUAUCUAAGGAUCAGUAUCAAAUUGUCCUGUGUUAGUUGAAAGGCUCGGGUCGCAGUAGUGGCUAGGCCGACUGGACCUUUGUUCUUCUAGAGAUGCCGUCAGGAGAGUGACGUGGCUCGGGUCGCAGUAGUGGCUAGGCCGAUUGGACCUUUGUUCUUCUAGAGGUGCCGUCAGGAGAGUGACGUGGCUCGGAUCGCAGUAGUGGCUAGGCCGACUGGACCUUUGUUCUUCUAGAGAUGCCGUCAGGAGAGUGACGUGGCUCGGGUCGCAGUGGAGGCUAGGCCAACUGGAUCCAUGCUCCUUCGGGAAUGCCGUCGAUGUGUUGACGAAGUGUGCUCCAAGGUGGGGAGGCGAUGCCUAGCUAGAUAUCGGUAGAUAGCUGAAUUUCGAGUAGGCUUUGCCCUGGUGUGACAGUGGAUAAUGAUGGUUUGGAAAUGCUUGAUGUGAUUGCGAAAUUGAGUGAAAUUGAUUGGGUUCCGAUAAACUGCCUUCUUGUCAUUAUUUGUGCUUAAGUGAUAUGAAUUGUACUAACCUGCAGGGAGGCACGAAGGCGAGGUAAGUCUUCUUGAUGUUGUGGCUAAGCUACUCUGGGGCGUAUUUACUUUCUAAUAGGGGUUUAGGAGGGGCGAACUUGCUGAGACAAAGUCUCAUCCCGGUUUAGGGAAAAAUAUUACAGGACCGUAGAUGGCGAGACCCCCGGAGAUGAGUGGCCUGCCGACGGAGAUUGACCAGACGACUGAGAGUACUCCUGACCCCGGGAGCCCCUGGGUCUAUCAGUUGGUGAGGACCACCAUUUGGGUUGAGGUGAACGUGGAUAAUAGAGUACCUUACUUUUUUAGGGCUUGGUUUCGUACCGGAGCAGAUGGGGUUAGGAUUGGCCCCCUUGACAGCAUGGACAUUCCACUGGCGGUGAUGACUCCCAUUUUGGGAGAAGGGGUAGCAGAUCAUCCUGAUGGUCGAGUGGUCAACGCUUCGCCCCCGGCCUCCUGGGUGACUGAUCCUGAGGAUGUAGGGUCGACGAAUGGGGACGACCAAUAGUCCUAGGAUUGUGCCUUUUCCUUUUUGGGCGGACUGAUUCGUGUUGUGUAGGCUAACUCUCUUUUGAUGCACAUAGACUCUGACCCAUUUUUGGUGUAUAGGCCCUGGAUCCGGUUGAUAUAUGUAAGCCCUGGUUUGUUGAUAAUAUAUGAAUGUAUGUUGUUUGAUUUUGAGUCGAUGUUCCUGCUGUCCUAUCCUGUAUGCUUUUGUAAGGGGUUUCUUAGUACGUUCCGCUUGCGCAUUAAAAAGUAAAUUGGGGUCGGCGACACUACCUAGGAAUGUCGCAUUUCCAUGACCAUGGCGGGUUGUUCACGUGUCUCGGGGUUCGGGACGUGACAAUAUCAAUCUCCAUAGGGAACUUUGAUUCAAAAUGAAUAAUCCACAAGACAAGAAAACAAUUUUGAGAUAGAAAGGAUGCUCAAAAGGUUUGUAAUUUUUUUUCUUUUCUCAAUUAUUAUUCAUUUUUUUGUCUCUAGGAAAGCCCAAAAGUUCUCUUUUGUAAUGGAAAUUCUCUUUUUUUCUCCCCUUUUUUUUACUUAAAAAAAAGAAAAGAAAAAAAAAAAAAGACUGAGAAGAUGGGUACUUACCUGCAGCAUGGCGACCCGAUGAUCCUGUAAAGAAUGUAAAAGAAUAUGUUAGUGCAAAGCUCCUUAGGGAUUGAAAUGUUGGAAACGAUACAUUAUUACCAUUCACUCGCUUUCAUCCUUUUGGCGCUAACAUCUCUUGGAUUCACCUUCAUGGAUAUUUGGUAACUCAACAAUACCCCUCCCUUGCAUUUGCCUUUAAGUGUUUGAUGUCUUCCUGAUUCCUUGGUAGAAGGCGCCGGUUCUACGGUUAGGUGCAACCCCUUUUUUUUAUUUAUCACCCUGUAAGAAAGGGAGAUGAAAUGAGUUAUCUCUAUUCUUAGUUAGGUUCAACUAAGGAACGAUACAUCAUUUUUGAUGAAUUUGACAAUGUUGUUCCAGCACACUUUGUUUGUGGGGAGAUGAGAGAUUUUUUUUUUUUAAAUCAAAUGUUGCUUUGCCACUCUUUAUUUGACAAUCAUUUGUUAUGUUCGAACCCAUCCUGUAUCAAAGAAAAGGACAUGUCAUUUUUUAUGCUAAAGAAAAUCAAGUUUAGGAACGAGAUACAUCAUUUUCAAAGUCGGGCGAUCAACAUCCCAAGGUAUCUCUAAUGGAGGAAUGGAUAAUAUUGCCCCUCUGUUUCAUCUAAAUCUUUAUUUGUUUAAAACGCUCCACUGUGUUUGUUAAGAACGUUAUGUCAGAAACGGUAUCAGAAAUUGAUGAUUGAAAUCGAUAUAGUUUACUCUUCCUUCGAUUUCACCCUUUUGGAUGUUUGGCAACUCCCUUCAUUUGUCUCCUCAUGUAGAGUGAACGAAAUUGAUGGGCUAUUUUGGUUCCUAAGACAUUUGCAAAUAACAAAACUUCCUAGAAUGGAAUUCAACUUCGCUCCGCCUCUAUGGAAAAUUGGCGUCAACGAUGCCUCAACGCAUGCUUGCUUCUCAAGUUUGAUGAGCCUAAGAAAACGACUGCAUGAAGAGAGGGCCUUAAGCAGAGUUUUCUUGAAAUUCGUUUUGGAAGGUAGACAUAAAGGUUCGCUUGAAACAUUUCUAAAUUUGUUUUUUUUUUCUUUUCUUUCUUUCUUUCUUUUUUUUUUUUGGAUGAUUUUCACGAAAUUGAAUUCCAUCAUAAAAAAAAAUGAGUCGCAUGAUUUACCAAAGCAUCAAUUGGAUUCGCGACCAAAACCCAAAAUGGAAAACAAGAUUCUUAACAAGAAUAAAAACAACGAUAAAAUGCGAGAAACUCUUGGAUAGAUAAGAGUAAAAAUCAACUCUCAUUCUAGCUCUAGAAUUCACUUCUCUAUGUAGUCAAACACGAGAAUGUCAUGGAGCAUCACGCGUAACUUGCAAAAAGAUGACAAUGUCAAAAUGUGAAUGAAAGAAAAUGAUAUUUUAAUGACGUCACUUCUUACAAUAAAAUCAAGGCGACGGUACAUGCCCCACAAUCAUUAUUAUAGGACUUUAGUAUUUCGCCAAGAUUUUAUCAUAAGAGAAGAUAUCAUUAAAAUUAUCAAUCCACGACCAUUAAUCGAAUGUUCAUUUUUAUUCCAAAAGUUUCGUAAUGCAAAAGUGUCUUUGAUUUUUGAAAGAUUGAUUUGUGAUUUUACUCCCAGAAAAAUGAAGUGAUUUCUAUUUUGAGGAAUUUGUACACAAAAUGAUUUGCAUUAUAGUCCCAAAAUAUGAGAAUGAGAAAAUUUCAUAAAAAAAUGCAAUUUCAAUUUUUGUGCCCAAAUAUAAAAUCACAACUUGAAAGUUUUUUUUUAUUUUUUUUAUUUUUCAAAAUGAUUUCGAGCCCAUAACUAGAAGUUUAAACAAAACUAUGUGUUCAACAGGGCCAAAUCAAAAUGCUUAGCACUUGCAUUCAAAUGCUCACUUGUCAAAAGUGAUUGCCAAUUUUUCAAUCAUAAGUUUGCAUCACCGAGGGCAUGCGAUUGAUUUCCGCGAAUUUUAAGAUGAAAAUACAAUACAAAAUGAACAAAUAAAAAGGAAAAUGACACUUACAAUGGGUGCCGACCUUUGUUUUUUUGUUUUUUUUUUAUAGACAUGCACAUGAGAUGUGGUUCGAUUUCUACUCUAUAUAGCCCAAAAUGGAGCCAUAGGAUUACCGGACUGAACCAGCAAGGUCGCGGCUAGGUCGGGUUACCCAUGACUCCGGCUUCGUCAAGGAACCGACUCGUGUCGCGCGGUUGCAGACCGGGGUGGGUACCUUUGACGUGAAGGAAGAAAUUUCGGAGUAGAGAUGGGCGACUCGUACUACGCGGUUGUAGUCGGAGUGGUAUCCACCUCAACACCAUCCUAAGUGAUCUUAUGCGGCCGGGGUCCGGCGGCAGAUUGUGUGUGUUAAAGUGUAGUGCAAUGCAGGGGAUGCAGGCAUGACAAUUUAUAAGAAAUCAGCACUUUAUAUAUGAAAAAUAAACCAUACAUUCCUACAUCUCCCUGCAAGACAAAGGUGAGCAAACACUUCCCCUUAUAUUUCCCAUUCUGCUAAAACAUUUAACACCUACAAUGUUAGGGGCGUACCUGGAAUCCCCGCUGCCAAACAAAAAUAUUUUUGAACAAGAUUAAUUUUGGCUUAAGUCCUCUAAAGUUUAAAACCACGUCCCUAGCGGAGUCGCCAAGUUGUCGCGACCUACCCUCGGGGGGAGGGAACAGGUUUAGGGGUAUUGCCUAAGGACGGGCCUAAAGCCCAUGAUUAGACGCGGGCUCUCCCAAGCCCAUACCUCGCGUGACGUUGGGAUAUAUUUUAGGAAUUUUGCACAAAAGGAGUCGCCACUAGCCUAUUGGGGUCGGCUAGAAACCAAGUAAGGCAUGGGAGCGUGCCUCACUUCCUACGCAACCAGAGAAUCUAGGUUUGGGGACUUGAUUACACUAAUUAACCAAUUAGUGCCCUUUCAGUAACCUAAUCUUGUUCAUUUUAACAAAAUGAUUUUUGGCAGGCAGUUUGAAUUGAUUUUAUACUUAUCUACUAACAUGUGAGGUAAUCAUGCGGGUACACAAUCAUUAAAGUAAUAACCAUAACUACCAAGAUCCUAAUUACCAUAAAAUUAAACACAUGUCAUCAAACAUAAUUAGAUAUACAAAUUAAACAUGCAACAUAAUUAAUAUACGAGCACAUAAAAGUCUAAUUACGCUAAAAUGGCAAUACAUGAUCAAACCCCAUCAUUUUUGGAUUUUUGAAAUUUUUAAUUUUUAAUUUUUAAUUUUUUCAAAUUUUUUUUAAAAGAAAAUUAAUUAAUUUUUAAUUUUUUUUAAUUUUUUUAAAAGAAAAUUAAUUAAUUUUUAAUUUUUUUUAAUUUUUUUAAAUUUUUUUUAAUAUUUUUGGAUUUUUCGAAUUUUUUUAAAAUAUUAAAAUAUUAAAAUAUUUUUUUAUUUUAAAAUUUUUAAAGAAAAUAAUUUUUAAUUUUUAAAAUUAAUUUUUGAUUUAAAAAGGUGAACCGGGUCGGGUUCGAUUCAACCCGACCCGGUCAACGCGGAUCGGGUCCGGUCGGAGACCGGACCCGAGUUCGGUCCAAAUGGGGCCGGGCCGAACUGGCCCGACUUGGUCGGGCUUUGCCUUGGCUCGGAUUGGGCCCAAUCAGCGGGCCCAAUCUGGUCUAAUACUUUCUAUUUAAAAAAAGAAGCCCACUACCUAAGUUAGCCCAAACCCACAAAUCCAAAAAUUCCUAAAAGCCCAAAAAGCCUAAAAACCGACCCAAAUAGCUCAAAAACCCUACCCGGUUCGCGACCCGUGUUCGACCCGUUCCUUUUGGCCGAAACCCUAGGGUUUCCUGGCGGCGUUGGCAGCGGCGGCGAAGGUGAUUCGGACGGCGACAGCGGCGGUACGACGGGCGGCGGCGUCGGCACGGCGGUGACUGGCGGAGACGCGGCCAGGAGUGGCGGCGGUGGCGAGGGCCGGUGUGGGGCUCGCUCGGCGGUGACUGGCGAGGCAGCUCGGACGGCGUCGGGUUGAGGGCGGUGAUGGGUGAGCGACGGCACCGGCUGCAGCGAGGGGGUUCGGACGGCGACUAGAGCGGGACGGCGGGGGCGGUCGGCCUGGUGGUGCAGCGGAGUUCGAUCAACUCCCAGAUCUGGUUCGUCUCCGGCUGGUUCGGCGUCGGGAGCAACGGCAACGGCGGCGGCUUGGCUCGAACGGAAGAUGGAGGGCGGCGGCUCGGCUCGAACGGCGUCAGGUUGAAGCGGCGAGGAGGGCGAGCAGCGGCGUCGGGUCACUGGUCCGAGAGGCACGGGCGGAGCAGCAGGCAGGGAGUAGAAGACAGCUUCGCUCGGAGGAGGCUUGGACGACGACGGGCAGGAGGGCGGCGGCGACGCGGGUGUCAGGCACCGGUCGAGCGGGAGCGGUAGCGGCAGCGGCGGCGGUGCCGCCGUCGCCGCCCUUCCUUUCGGUUUUCCCCUUCUUCUUUUUUUCUUUCUGGUUGCUCCUCCCUCGAGCUCCCUUUCCCUCUCUCCUCCGGUCUCUCCCUCCGUUCCCCCUCUCCCUCUCUACCGAGUUCUCUCUCUCCCUUUUUCUCGGUCUCCGAUGCUCCCUGUUCACUGUCCUCCUGCCACUCCCUUGCUGCCCCUGUUUCUGUUCUGUUUUGCAGGUCUGCGUGCGAAGGAGGAAGACAGCAAGGCGUGGGCUGGAGGGGAAAGGAAGCUGGGCCGGGCCUAGGCCAGAUCAAGCCCAACUCGAGCCCCU
rnacentral:lncRNA from 1 species